CAGCCGCCGCGGUAAUACCGGCGGCCCGAGUGGCGGCCACUAUUAUUGGGCUUAAAGCGUCCGUAGCCGGGUUGGUUAGUCUCCCGGGAAAUCUGGCCGCUUAACGGUCAGAAUGCCGGAGGAUACUCCCAGCCUAGGGAGCGGGAGAGGCCGAGGGUAUUCCCGGAGUAGGGGUGAAAUCCUAUAAUCCCGGGAGGACCACCUGUGGCGAAGGCGCUCGGCUGGAACGCGUCCGACGGUGAGGGACGAAGGCCAGGGGAGCAAACCGGAUUAGAUACCCGGGUAGUCCUGGCUGUAAACGAUGCGGACUUUGUGUCGGACAAGCUAUGAGCUUGUCCGGUGCCGGAGGGAAACCGUUAAGUCCGCCGCCUGGGGAGUACGGCCGCAAGGCUGAAACUUAAAGGAAUUGGCGGG
rnacentral:rRNA from 1 species